rnacentral:rRNA from 1 species
UACGUAGGCAGCGAGCGUUGUUCGGAAUUACUGGGCGUAAAGGGUGCGUAGGCGGCUUUUUAAGUUUGGUGUGAAAUCUCCCGGCUCAACCGGGAGGGUGCGCCGAAUACUGAGAGGCUAGAGUGUGGGAGAGGAAAGUGGAAUUCCUGGUGUAGCGGUGAAAUGCGUAGAUAUCAGGAGGAACACCGGUGGUGUAAACGGCUUUCUGGACCAUAACUGACGCUGAGGCACGAAAGCGUGGGUAGCAAACAGG